AACGAACGCUGGCGGCAUGCCUAACACAUGCAAGUCGAACGAAAGCUUCGGGCCUAGUGGUGCACGGGUGCGUAACGCGUGGGAACCUGCCCUUAGAUUCGGCAGAACUCCCCGGAAGAGGUGCUAAAACCGGCUCAUAUCCCCGGUCCAAAGUUUUAUAGCCUUUGGAUGGGCCCGCGUUGGAUUACCUAGUGGUUAGGGUAAAAGCCUACCAAGGCGACGAGCCAUAGCUGGUAAGUGAGGAAGAUCAGCGACACUGGGAGUGAGACACGGCCCAGACUCUUGCAGGAGGCAGGAGUGGGGAAUAUUGGACUGUGGGCUGAAGCAUGAUGCACCAAUGACUCGUGAGUGAUGCAGGCCGUAGGGUUGUAAAGCACUUUUACCCGGGAUGAUUAUGACAGUACCGAGAGAAUAAGCUCCGGCUAACUCCGUG
rnacentral:rRNA from 1 species